rnacentral:rRNA from 1 species
CGAGCGGCGGACGGGUGAGUAAUGUCUGGGGAUCUGCCUGAUGGAGGGGGAUAACUACUGGAAACGGUAGCUAAUACCGCAUGACCUCGCAAGAGCAAAGUGGGGGACCUUCGGGCCUCUUGCCAUCAGAUGUGCCCAGAUGGGAUUAGCUAGUAGGUGGGGUAAUGGCUCACCUAGGCGACGAUCCCUAGCUGGUCUGAGAGGAUGA